rnacentral:rRNA from 1 species
UACAGAGGGGGCAAGCGUUGUUCGGAAUUACUGGGCGUAAAGCGCGCGUAGGCGGCUUUGCAAGUCGGGUGUGAAAUCCCCAGGCUUAACCUGGGAACUGCAUUCGAGACUGCAUUGCUAGAGUAUGGGAGAGGGAAGUGGAAUUCUUGGUGUAGCGGUGAAAUGCGUAGAUAUCAAGAGGAACACCUGAGGUGAAGACGGGUUGCUAGGCUGACACUGACGCUGAGGCGCGAAAGCCAGGGGAGCAAACGGG